UGUAGUAAACUACCAUAGUUUGCUAGGGUUAUUGUAGACUUUUGAGAAGGAUAACCAACUUUAAAAGGAGCCGAUGAAUAUGGUGGGUGGUUCCUCUUUUGGGUAUCAUCUCUUUAAGAAAGAGAAGAAAAAGAACAAGAAGAAAGUGCAGCAUGCUGGGGCUCCAAAGUCCAAUAGAGCAAAAAGUUAAAGAUUGACAAUAGCCA
rnacentral:lncRNA from 1 species